ACCAGCCAUCGUCUAAGCUCCCUGUUCGGCCGCCGCUCGAACCUCCCACCCGAUUGAGACUCCCAAGGAAACAAGGAAAGACGGAAAACCAAGGAAAGACUCUAAAAGGACGGGUUUGGGUAGUAAGAUUUAAGACGGAUUCGGAUACGGGUAGGUCAAAGUUUGCGGGUACCCUAUCCGUGGCUAUCCCUAACCGGCCGCAGCCAGCGCUAACGAAGGCGCCGUCGGCUCCUUUCCCCAGAGGAAGCUCCCGCUGAUCGGAAGUCGUAGAACUCAUAAAACCCUAGCCAAUAUCAGGUUUUGAUGAAAACCCUAGGCUUUUAGUUGGGGUUGUAUGAGAAAGCUCGUCUUUGGUUUGGGAAGAACUGAUCGUCUGAAUUCUUUCCUGCUAAUCAAAGUUAGCAUAUUUAAUGAGUGUUCCGUAGGGUAGUGCUUAGCUUCUUCGACGGUUGGAGCACUGGUAAAGGCUGCAUCUUUAGUUUUAGGUUCUGCAAUCAGUAGGAUUUAAGCUUUGGACGGAAUUAUAUAAAUUAUUGUUGAAUGAGAAUUCUGUUUGUAUUAAUUAAAAAAAUAUAUAUUUUUCAUCUCUUUUUUGGCUAUCAAAAUCUCUAUAAUGCUAUUCCUGGAACAUGCGUGCGUGUGUAUAUGCAUUUUCCUUAAUUUGUUAUAUAUAAUCUCGUCCUGCAGUUUUGAUGGCUUGAAUUCUUUGCAAAUAAGAAUAAAAUCUCUAACUUUGGUUCUUUUAUACCAAGUUAGAGUCACAUAAGGCAGGUAUUUUUUUUUUUUUCUGCUUUCUGGUUUGUUCAUUUGGCAUUAGCAUAUGAUUAGGAUCUUGACAUUUUUUCUUGCUGAUAGGACAUGAUGAUGUAUAGAGAUCAUAAGUGGCAUGAAUCUUGAUUCUAUGUCUUGCAAAAUGAAAUCUGGUAUCUUUCUAUUUGUGACUCCCUCCAUUCUUAGAUUUGUAUGGCCCACUGUUAGACAAAUAUCUUCUUUAAACAAUAUAUUUGUUUCAGGAUGCUUUUAUGCCAUGGGAUAUGUAUUGGUUGGAGUUGCAUUAGAUAAAUCUUGAGAGUAGCCAAAAUAGCAAGGAUGAUGAGAAUUAGUUGAAUUCUUCAUGGAGACAAUGACAAAAACUAAAAGCCAAAUGUAAAAUGCUGGAUCCAGAAAAGAUUUUGAGAUGAUUCAAGAUUAAAAAAACAUAGCUCCGGAUGAUUUUCUGUAGGAGUUUUAGUUUUAAUAUGAGUUUCCUUAAUCUUCAUUAUUUUUUGAUUUUCUACUAAUUUUCAGAAAAUAGAUCAAGUUCACAAUCUUUAUCCCAAGCACAAAACCAAACUCAAAAAAAAAAAAAAAAAAAAAAAAAAAAAA